rnacentral:rRNA from 1 species
GAUGAACGCUGGCGGCGUGCUUAACACAUGCAAGUCGAACGGUGAAGGAGGAGCUUGCUCUUCUGGAUCAGUGGCGAACGGGUGAGUAACACGUGAGCAAUCUGCCCUUGACUCUGGGAUAACAGUUGGAAACAGCUGCUAAUACCGGAUACGAGACGUGACCGCAUGGUCAACGUCUGGAAAGAACUUCGGUCAAGGAUGAGCUCACGGCCUAUCAGCUAGUUGGUGGGGUAAUGGCUCACCAAGGCGACGACGGGUAGCCGGCCUGAGAGGGUGACCGGCCACACUGGGACUGAGACACGGCCCAGACUCCUACGGGAGGCAGCAGUGGGGAAUAUUGCACAAUGGGCGAAAGCCUGAUGCAGCAACGCCGCGUGAGGGACGACGGCCUUCGGGUUGUAACCUCUUUUAGCAAGGAAGAAGCGAAAGUGACGGUACUUGCAGAAAAGACGACCGGCUAACUACGUGCCAGCAGCCGCGGUAAACU